rnacentral:rRNA from 1 species
CCUACGGGGAGCAGCAGUGGGGAAUAUUGGACAAUGGGCGAAAGCCUGAUCCAGCCAUGCCGCGUGUGUGAAGAAGGCCUUCGGGUUGUAAAGCACUUUCAGUGGGGAAGAAAGCCUUGGGGCUAAUACCCUCGAGGAAGGACAUCACCCACAGAAGAAGCACCGGCUAACUCCGUGCCAGCAGCCGCGGUAAUACGGAGGGUGCGAGCGUUAAUCGGAAUUACUGGGCGUAAAGCGCGCGUAGGCGGUCUGAUAAGCCGGUUGUGAAAGCCCCGGGCUCAACCUGGGAACGGCAUCCGGAACUGGCAGGCUAGAGUGCAGGAGAGGAGGGUAGAAUUCCAGGUGUAGCGGUGAAAUGCGUAGAGAUCGGGAGGAAUACCAGUGGCGAAGGCGGCCUUCUGGACUGACACUGACGCUGAGGUGCGAAAGCGUGGGGAGCAAACAGGAUUAGAUACCCUUGUAGUC